rnacentral:rRNA from 1 species
UGGGGAAUCUUGCGCAAUGCGCGAAAGCGUGACGCAGCAACGCCGCGUGAGGGAAGACGGCCUUCGGGUUGUAAACCUCUUUCAGGAGGGACGAAGGUUCGGCGGUGAAUAGCCGUCCGGACUGACGGUACCUCCAGAAGAAGCUCCGGCUAACUACGUGCCAGCAGCCGCGGUAAUACGUAGGGGGCAAGCGUUGUCCGGAAUCAUUGGGCGUAAAGCGCACGUAGGCGGCCCUGUAAGUCCGUUGUGAAAGUCAAAGGCUCAACCUUUGAAUGCCGAUGGAUACUGCAGGGCUAGAGUCCGGAAGAGGCGAGUGGAAUUCCUGGUGUAGCGGUGGAAUGCGCAGAUAUCAGGAGGAACACCAAUAGCGAAGGCAGCUCGCUGGGACGGUACUGACGCUAAGGUGCGAAAGCGUGGGGAGCGAACAGG